rnacentral:rRNA from 2 species
CUAUACAUGCAGUCGAACGAACUCUGGUAUUGAUUGGUGCUUGCAUCAUGAUUUACAUUUGAGUGAGUGGCGAACUGGUGAGUAACACGUGGGAAACCUGCCCAGAAGCGGGGGAUAACACCUGGAAACAGAUGCUAAUACCGCAUAACAACUUGGACCGCAUGGUCCGAGUUUGAAAGAUGGCUUCGGCUAUCACUUUUGGAUGGUCCCGCGGCGUAUUAGCUAGAUGGUGGGGUAACGGCUCACCAUGGCAAUGAUACGUAGCCGACCUGAGAGGGUAAUCGGCCACAUUGGGACUGAGACACGGCCCAAACUCCUACGGGAGGCAGCAGUAGGGAAUCUUCCACAAUGGACGAAAGUCUGAUGGAGCAACGCCGCGUGAGUGAAGAAGGGUUUCGGCUCGUAAAACUCUGUUGUUAAAGAAGAACAUAUCUGAGAGUAACUGUUCAGGUAUUGACGGUAUUUAACCAGAAAGCCACGGCUAACUACGUGCCAGCAGCCGCGGUAAUACGUAGGUGGCAAGCGUUGUCCGGAUUUAUUGGGCGUAAAGCGAGCGCAGGCGGUUUUUUAAGUCUGAUGUGAAAGCCUUCGGCUCAACCGAAGAAGUGCAUCGGAAACUGGGAAAACUUU